rnacentral:lncRNA from 1 species
AAAUAUCGUAUUAUUGAUAAUUAAACUUCAAUUCUAUAACAGGGAAUAAAGUGAAGGAUUCUUACUCGAAUCGGUAUCCGAAAUAUCGAACUUUCUACUGCGCCUACUGGUGGUUCCUGAGUUUCCUGAAUUUUCUUACGGAGAUUAAAACACAAUUCACAUACCUAAAAAUAUCCUAAAAAAUUCAAAAUCGGUGUUAAAAAAUUUUUUCAGCCAAUUUCAGAAUUCUAGCACGGUGGC